GAAAAUAGUACGAUUUCUAGUUUGUAAAUUUUUUGGAACUAAACAAGGCCAAAGCCAAGACAGGAAGCGGCCGUCGCCACGCCUGGCGCCGCCCUGCCCCCAGCAAACACGCCGCCCACCACACCACUCCCUCCAGCAGUCCAGCUCGCACCCUCACGCCCUCCGCGGCGCGGCACGGGCUGCUCCGCCCACCCAUCGCACUCGACCUGCUCUGCCCCACCGACCCGGAGGCUGGCGCUGCGCCGUCCGUGCCGGUAGCGCCGCCGCCUGCGCGCGCGCGCCCCGUCAGCAUGUCGCGCCGGGUGAGCGCCGCCGCCGACCGGUGCUUGGAGCUGGAGCGCGUCAUCGCCAGCCGCGCCCGCUCGGGAAGCCUCGGCCUCGACGAGGCGCUCAAGCUGUUCGACGAAUUGCUCCACUGCGCCAGGCCUGCCUCGGUUCGUGCCUUCAACCAGCUGCUUACCGUUGUUUCCCGCGCCGGAUGCUCCUCAGCCUCUGAGCGUGUCGUCUCCCUCUUCACCCGGAUGGCCCGUGAAUGCUCGAGCAAGGUGGCUCCGAACGCUUGCACCUACAGCAUCCUCAUCGGCUGCUUCUGCCGCAUGGGCCGCCUGGAGCAUGGCUUCGCCGCCUUUGGCCUCAUCCUUAAGACGGGCUGGAGGGUGAAUGUCAUAGUCAUCAGUCAACUGCUCAAAGGUCUCUGCGAUGCGAAGAGGGUGGACGAGGCCACAGACAUAUUGCUUCUGCGAAUGUCCGAGUUUGGCUGCCCACCAGAUGUGGUGGCCUACAACACCGUCAUCAAUGGUUUCUUUAGAGAGGGUCAAGUGGAAAAAGCUUACAACCUCUUUCUUGAAAUGAUGGAUCAGGGGAUUCCACCGAAUGUUGUGACAUACACCACAGUAAUUGAUGGCCUGUGCAAAGCCCAAGUGGUGGACAGAGCCAAGGGUGUCUUUCAGCAGAUGAUUGAUAGAGGUGUUAAGCCAGACAACGGCACAUAUAAUUGUCUGAUUCAUGGAUACCUUUCUACUGGAAAGUGGAAAGAGGUGGUUCAAAUGCUCGAAGAAAUGUCCACACAUGGUCUUGAGCCAGAUUGUAUUACUUAUGCUCUGCUGCUGGACUACCUAUGCAAGAAUGGAAGAUGCAGAGAAGCUAGACUUUUUUUUGAUUCUAUGUUUAGGAAGGGCAUAAAACCUGAUGUAGCUAUCUAUGCCAUUUUGCUUCAUGGAUAUGCUACCAAAGGUGCUCUUUCUGAAAUGCAUAGUUUCCUAGAUUUGAUGGUAGGAAAUGGUGUUUCACCUAAUCGUCGCAUCUUCAAUAUAAUGUUCUGUGCAUAUGCUAAAAAGGCAAUGAUAGAAGAGGCAAUGCAUAUAUUUAACAAAAUGAGGCAGCAAGGGUUGAGUCCUGAUGUAGUCAGCUUUGGAGCACUAAUAGAUGCACUAUGUAAGUUAGGCAGGGUGGACGAUGCUGUCCUCCAAUUCAAUCAGAUGAUCAAUGAAGGAGUGACUCCUAACAUCUUUGUGUUUUCCUCCCUAGUUUAUGGACUGUGCACCGUUGGCAAAUGGGAGAAGGCCGAGGAACUGUUUUUUGAAGUGUUGGAUCAAGGAAUCUGUGUUGAUGCAGUGUUCUUCAACACAUUAAUGUGUAACUUAUGCAAUGAAGGGCGAGUCAUGGAAGCCCAAAGGCUCAUUGACUUGAUGAUCCGUGUGGGUGUAAGGCCUAAUGUUAUCUCAUAUAAUACAUUAGUUGCUGGCCACUGCUUAACUGGUAGAAUUGAUGAAGCGGCGAAGCUACUUGAUGUUAUGGUCUCAAAUGGCCUGAAACCUAAUGAAUUUACUUAUACUAUUUUGCUUCGUGGCUACUGCAAAGCUCGAAGGGUAGAUGAUGCAUACAGCCUUUUCCGAGAAAUGUUAAUGAAGGGAGUUACACCUGUAGUUGCGACUUAUAAUACUAUAUUGCAUGGUUUGUUUCAGACCGGGAGAUUUUCUGAAGCAAACGAGCUCUAUCUCAAUAUGAUCAACAGCAGAACAAAGUGCGACAUCUACACAUACAACAUAAUUCUAAAUGGUCUUUGCAAAAAUAAUUUUGUUGAUGAAGCAUUCAAAAUGUUUCGGAGGCUAUGUUCUAAGGAUCCUCAACUUGACAGUGUUACAUUCAACAUUAUGAUUGGUGCUUUGCUCAAAGGUGGCAGAAAGGAAGAUGCCAUGGAUUUGUUUGCUACUAUCUCUGCUUAUGGUUUGGUUCCAGAUGUUGUGACCUACCGCUUAAUAGCAGAAAAUCUCAUAGAAGAAGGGUCGCUAGGGGAGUUUGAUGGUCUGUUUUCAGCAAUGGAAAAGAGUGGUACUGCUCCAAACUCACAUAUGUUAAAUGCUCUAGUUAGGAGGUUGUUGCAUAGAGGUGACAUAAGCAGGGCUGGGGUUUACCUCUACAAACUUGAUGAGAAGAAUUUUUCACUUGAGGCUUCCACUACUUCCAUGCUUAUAUCACUUUACUCGAGGGGUGAAUAUCAGCCACAUGCAAAGUCGCUGCCUGAAAAGUAUCGUUUCCUCAUUGAAGCCAACACAUCAAGUUUAUCAACAGUCAUCAACAAUGAUGAUGCUACUUUGAUGAUCCAUGGCUUGGAGUUUCCUAAGGACGAUGCUGAACUAGAUGCUGAUCCAUCUGACAGUGAUGGUUAUCUUUCUGAGGAUCCUGAGUGUCCAUACUAUUCUGACAGUGAGGAUGAGAAAGCUGCCGAAGAUUGUAUCAUGGAAGAUGGUUUGUACAGACAGAAUGAUGACAUGAAUCGGGAUAUCAAAAAGCAAAAGAAAAAGUUGAAGAAGUUACUGGAUAAGGACCCUGGAUUUGCAAAUUUCCUUGAAAAUGGCAGUCGGAUUUGGAGAGCUACAGAAGCAAAGGAGACUCUGAUGAAGAUGGAAUGGAUUCUAUGGAUGAUGAUGAUAACUCCAAUGAUGGAAAUGACCCAAAUGCUAAGACCCUUACAAGCAAGACUAUAAGUGAAUGGUGCCAGAAGAUAGAUAACUGGCAAUAUAUUAAUUGUGUCAACCUAUGGGUUCGGUUUCUGUGCUGUCACUACAAGGAUUACAAUCUCCACCCCUUACUUUCUGAAGUUCAAGUAAUUAGAGGAGUGGCUCACUUAUUCCCAGGCACAAGGUACUUGCCGUUGAGACUGAGGCUUGUGCAGAUGCUGAACGAGCUUGGAGACCUGCAGUCAGAUGUUCUAUCCAAUUCCAUUAUUGCUAUUUGACUGCCUAGAAUUUAGAGAAGUCUCUCAGAAAGAACAAACACAAAGAACAAAGAUCAACUUCUCAUCGCUGUUGAAGGUGACUGAGAACAAGGGGUUUAUAGAAAGGAAAAGAGAGGUGGUAUCCUUCUCACGAAAUGACAAGGCAUCAGUUGAUAGCUUCCUUCAG